rnacentral:tRNA from 1 species
AGCUAGGUGGCACAGUGGAUAGAGCACCAGCCUUGAAGUCUGGGGGACCUGAGUUCAAAUCUGACCUUAGAUA